AUACGGAGGAUCCAAGCGUUAUCCGGAUUUAUUGGGUUUAAGGGUGCGCAGGCGGCCUUAUAAGUCAGUGGUGAAAUCUCCCGGCUCAACCGGGAAACUGUCAUUGAUACUGUAAGGCUAGAAUACAGACGAGGUAGGCGGAAUGUAGCAUGUAGCGGCGAAAUGCUUAGAUAUGCUACAGAACACCGAUCGCGAAGGCAGCUUACCAGACUGUAAUUGACGCUAAGGCACGAAAGCGUGGGGAGCGAACAGGAUUAGAAACCCUAGUAGUCC
rnacentral:rRNA from 1 species